GAUGAACGCUAGCUACAGGCUUAACACAUGCAAGUCGAGGGGCAGCAUGGUCUUAGCUUGCUAAGGCCGAUGGCGACCGGCGCACGGGUGAGUAACACGUAUCCAACCUGCCGUCUACUCUUGGACAGCCUUCUGAGAGGAAGAUUAAUACAAGAUGGCAUCAUGAGUCCACAUGUUCACAUGAUUAAAGGUAUUCCGGUAGACGAUGGGGAUGCGUUCCAUUAGAUAGUAGGCGGGGUAACGGCCCGCCUAGUCUUCGAUGGAUAGGGGUUCUGAGAGGAAGGCCCCCCACAUUGGAACUGAGACACGGUCCAAACUCCUACGGGAGGCAGCAGUGAGGAAUAUUGGUCAAUGGGCGAGAGCCUGAACCAGCCAAGUAGCGUGAAGGAUGACUGCCCUAUGGGUUGUAAACUUCUUUUAUAAAGGAAUAAAGUCGGGGAUGCAUACCCGUUUGCAUGUACUUUAUGAAUAAGGAUCGGCUAACUCCGUGCCAGCCGCCGCAGUAA
rnacentral:rRNA from 1 species